AAUGAUAUCUCUUAUAUUUGCUGCUGAAAAGGGUGAAUCGUGUGUAACUCACGAACUGUCGCGCAACCGUUAUCCGCAGAGCGGAAAGUCGGAUCCCCAAAAACUUUCGCGAUUUG
rnacentral:ncRNA from 1 species